UACAGAGGUCUCAAGCGUUGUUCGGAUUCAUUGGGCGUAAAGGGUGUGUAGGUGGCGCCGUAAGUCGGGUGUGAAAUCUUGGAGCUUAACUCCGAAACUGCAUUCGAUACUGCCGUGCUUGAGGACUGGAGAGGAGACUGGAAUUUACGGUGUAGCGGUGAAAUGCGUAGAUAUCGUGAGGAAGACCAGUGGCGAAGGCGGGUUUCUGGAGAGUUCCUGACGCUGAGGCACGAAGGCCAGGGGAGCAAACGGG
rnacentral:rRNA from 1 species